UUGAUGAGCGUUUUCCUUUUUCUGUGUCAUUCAGAAAGUAGUACCAUUCUUCAUGGUGGUAUGAGGGAUAAGAUGCAUAUUUGAAUUAUCCUAUACGAGCACAAGAACGAAUAUAUGCUGCUAUAUACUUGAUUGAUUUGAAUAGAUGAAUGCAGAGUGUAGGAAGUGGAGUGAGGAACAGGUCCAACCUCCAAAUUAAAGUAAACGGACUGGUGGGAGGAAAAAAACAAAAGGGGACAUUUUACUGCAAUGGAAGAGGGCUGAAUGACAUAAGAAGAAGAAAAAAGUACUUUUCGGGUGAUAUGUAAAGAUAAGUAAUGGCAGUCAUCUUCAUUAUUCGAGCACGAGGCAUAUAAAAGACAGCAAUGAGGUUAAAACGGUUCCUCUCUCAGUUUAUUCCUUUUAGGACCACCAUUUGAUGCUUUUGUAAAAAAAGGGGAAGAGAUAGAUCAUAGAACAAACACAAGACUUGAGCUAUGGAGAGGCAAUGAAUCUCUUAAUUUGGUUGAAGGUAUUGUACUUACUGUUAGCUGGUGAGAUUUGUUUCUGUCAAUAUUUCUGCAAAUUUCAGUUUUUGUUGUUGUUGUGUACGUGUGUGUCAUCUUUAUAUCUCUACUAUUGGUUCUGAGGUGCUCAAAGGGUGAAUUACUCAAGGGAAUUACUAUCUGCCACAGAAUCUUGAAGAUCAAGUCUGUGGAUUUAAUGGUAUCUUAAUUUUUUUAUGUUUUUGUAUAUUGUUCACAUAGAAGUACAAUGAGUUAAUUUUUUUGUUCCUUUUCUUUCACUGGCUUUGUUCAUAACGACAAUAUGACGACUAAUCAGCUUAAUUUGCCUUUUACUUAUGUAAGAGAUCAUGUUUUUUUGUAGUUACCUUCUUAAUACAUCUUUGGUACUGCAGAAUCAUUUGGCUUUCAAAGUCCACAAGCUCUAUGGAGUAUGGAAAGUUAUAAUUAAUUUGGUUUAAUUACAAAGCUAGGCUGUUUAUUACAAUUGGAGAAUUUGUAAUGCAUACUGCAACUUCAAAGUUUUGAUUUGUUCUCUUUGAUGUAGUUGAUGAUGGUUGAUGAUUAGUUUUCCCGACUUUAUGGGAAAUCAAGUUUCAUGUGCCAUGUGAAUUCGGUGUCUAUAAUAAUGCCUUUUCUACUAAAGCAAGAUA